AACGUAGGUUCCGAGCGUUAUCCGGAUUUACUGGGCGUAAAGCGCGUUCAGGCGGUUUGGCAAGUCGGGCAUGAAAUCUCUCGGCUCAACCGGGAGAGGUUGUCCGAUACUGCUGGACUUGAGGGCAGUAGAGGGUGGUGGAAUUCCGGGUGUAGUGGUGAAAUGCGUAGAUAUUAGGAAGAACACCAGUGGCGAAGGCGGCUCUCUGGGACGGUACUGACGCUGAGACGCGAAAGCGUGGGGAGCGAACAGG
rnacentral:rRNA from 1 species